UGGGGGAUAUUGCACAAUGGGCGAAAGCCUGAUGCAGCGACGCCGCGUGGGGGAUGAAGGCUUUCGGGUUGUAAACCUCUUUCGCUAUCGAACAAGGCCCGCUUAGGGUGGGUUGAGGGUAGGUGGAGAAGAAGCGCCGGCUAACUACGUGCCAGCAGCCGCGGUAAUACGUAGGGCGCGAGCGUUGUCCGGAAUUAUUGGGCGUAAAGGGCUUGUAGGCGGCUUGUUGCGCCUGCUGUGAAAACGCGGGGCUUAACUUCGCGCGUGCAGUGGGUACGGGCAGGCUUGAGUGUGGUAGGGGUGACUGGAAUUCCAGGUGUAGCGGUGGAAUGCGCAGAUAUCUGGAGGAACACCGAUGGCGAAGGCAGGUCACUGGGCCAUUACUGACGCUGAGGAGCGACAGCAUGGGUAGCGAACAGG
rnacentral:rRNA from 1 species